ACAAGAACGGUGCAACAAAGAAGUUAGAGAGCAAAAACACUCGCAGAGAAAGGUAGAGAAAUGCAGGAUGAAAGGAUUAAAGCACUCCAGCAAAGAUUUAACUAUAAUUACGAAGGGUGGAGAACACGUGCUACAUCAUCCAAGAAACUCCUCUGUCAA